CAGCAGCCGCGGUAAUACGUAGGGUGCGAGCGUUAAUCGGAAUUACUGGGCGUAAAGCGUGCGCAGGCGGUUAUAUAAGACAGAUGUGAAAUCCCCGGGCUCAACCUGGGACCUGCAUUUGUGACUGUAUAGCUAGAGCACGGUAGAGGGGGAUGGAAUUCCGCGUGUAGCAGUGAAAUGCGUAGAUAUGCGGAGGAACACCGAUGGCGAAGGCAAUCCCCUGGACCUGUACUGACGCUCAUGCACGAAAGCGUGGGGAGCAAACAGGAUUAGAUACCCGAGUAGUCCCUGUCUCUUAUAC
rnacentral:rRNA from 1 species